UACAGAGGUCCCAAGCGUUGUUCGGAUUCACUGGGCGUAAAGGGUGCGUAGGUGGCGGGGAAAGUCUGAUGUGAAAUCUCCAAGCUUAACUUGGAAAUGGCAUUGGAAACUGCCUUGCUUGAGGGUUGGAGGGGAGACUGGAAUUCUUGGUGUAGCAGUGAAAUGCGUAGAUAUCAAGAGGAACACCAGUGGCGAAAGCGAGUCUCUGGACAACUCCUGACACUGAGGCACGAAAGCUAGGGGAGCAAACAGG
rnacentral:rRNA from 1 species